AUUUCAGUAGUUUACCCUAAAACCUUGGCCUUGUAAACCAAAAACGGCAAGUCAAACUGCCCUGAAAUC
rnacentral:tRNA from 1 species